UUCAUUGGUCGCGUUUCUUCUCAGCAUACGGUUCCGUUGCAGCAAUGGAGUUUGAGAACCGCUGCACCGCUCAACGCCUCCAUGGAGCGCANNAAGAGCUUCGUAAACGCCUUCCAAGUUUUCUCCCUGUAGUCUCUUAUUUUUCUCUUUUNUUUGCCGUUUUGUUUUAAUUUCAGGUCUGUGUUUGUUUGGUUGACUUCACCAAUGGCAUUUCGGCUGCAUUUUCUCUUUUUCUAUUUCGCAAUUUCAUUCGUCGGAUUUCUUCUCAGCGUGCGUUUGUGCGUUUGUUCAGUUCCGUUGCAGCAAUGGAGUUUGAGCNCCNAACCGGCGCACCGGUCAACUCCGCCAUGACCUACGACGAGGCCUCCAUGGUUUCGUCAACGCCUUGCAGGUUGAUAUGCUGCAGGAAGAGAAUGAAAUUAUUCUAGACGCAAGGUACUACGGUGGACUUUNUUUUGAACUCACAUCAUUCGUAAGUAUGCAAGCGUUUGUACCAUGGAGCUUAGACUCGAGGAAGAGAGAUGCAAGGAAUCAGAGGCCAAGUUAGGGAGCUUGAGAAGCAGGUUGCUUCCCUCGGAGAAGUUUGGAAGCCAAACUCUUGAGCAGGCUGCACUUAAGAAUGCCAAAGGCUCAAAGGAUGCAGUUGAUAAUGAAAUCUCAUGUGUACAGACUUAAAUUGAGAAUGCAAAAGUUGAGACUGAGGCUGCAGUGAGACAGGUUAAUGGAGAUGAAU